rnacentral:rRNA from 1 species
UACGUAGGUGGCAAGCGUUGUCCGGAUUUACUGGGCGUACAGGGAGCGUAGGCGGUUGGAUAAGCCCUCCGUGAAAUCUCCAGGCUUAACCUGGAAAGUGCAGAGGGGACUGUUCAGCUAGAGGAUGGGAGAGGAGCGCGGAAUUCCCGGUGUAGCGGUGAAAUGCGUAGAGAUCGGGAGGAAGGCCGGUGGCGAAGGCGGCGCUCUGGAACAUUUCUGACGCUGAGGCUCGAAAGCGUGGGGAGCAAACAGG